GGGCGCUUAGCUCAGUUGGCUAGAGCACUUCGUUUACACCGAAGGGGUCGGGGGUUCGAGCCCCUCAGCGCCCA
rnacentral:tRNA from 1 species